rnacentral:rRNA from 1 species
CAACUUUCAGCAACGGAUCUCUUGGCUCUCGCAUCGAUGAAGGACGUAGCGAAAUGCGAUAAGUAAUGUGAAUUGCAGAAUUCAGUGAAUCAUCGAAUCUUUGAACGCAUCUUGCGCUCCUUGGUAUUCCGAGGAGCAUGCCUGUUUGAGUGUCAUUU